CAAGCACACACAGUGGGGGCUGCAGAAAGCAGCAGCACCUGAGCCCUGAAAACCAGUGUGAGGGGCUGUGACUGUGUACACUGGGAAGUUCUUGGCUGCCAGCUGGAUAAGCCAUGAGAGGGAGGGGAUGCUGGAGCAAGGAGGGAAAGUAAAUACAAAAAAGCCUGGAGACUGCUGGCCAUGCUUGUGAUCUCUGCUCCAGUGAAGCAUCAUGCUGGGACUAAAGAUGGUCUGGGAGCCCAACUGCUGGAGCUGAGCACUCACAACAAAGGAAAUGAAACAAUCGGCCUCACUGGGAUGUCAGCCUGUUUGCCUUUCUGGCCUCUGUGAAGUGCUCCUGUGUGGCUGCAGUUGAGGUUCCCAGAAACAAAGCAGAAGGCUUCCAUGGAAAGCAGCUUUUCUUAGGUUUGGAAAAAAUGCAAGAACAAUCAGCCAGUAUUCCUACUCUGGCCUUUUUAAAAACAAAAAUAAAUAUUCUGCUGGCCAGGUCAGUUAAUUACCAUCCUGUAAUGACCUAGCAUGCAAUUUAAGUACAUCUUGGCAUUGCUUCAGAUGUGCACAUUUGGUUUCCUGUCCCCUCUCCCUCCUCACUCUGUGGAUAUGUGUGCGUGCGUGUAUUGUGUUUGUACUCCAUCUGAGCAUGGAAAAUUCAGCAGAGAAAAAAGCCCAAGCUAUAAAAUACUGUUGUUGUCCAUAACACUUUUUCUCAUAACAGCUUUUAACAGCAUUUAGCACUUCGUCGAUUUGGAGCAGUGCACGAGCAGGAACUCAUAAAUCUCGGCGGCCCUGGGAAGGGGCAGAGUGCCAGCAGCUCCUGCGAGGUGACCCCCCAAGGCUGCGGGAUGCUGCUGGCAGUGCUGCUCCACGCUCAGAUCAUGGUGCUGGACUCUGGCUGCUGAUGGCUGGAUUGGGCCACAGCAAUUAUUGUGCUGUCUUGUAAUUUUUUAUUAUGUCCCACACAGCUAAGGCUUUUCUACAGAUAACCUUUCUGCUCCAAUUAGGGCCUCUGUGAAGAGAACUAAUGACUGCUGAUCCAGACUGUUCAUCACAUCUGAAGCUUCAGCCCAUGGAGAUGAAUUAAGUCAGUAUCGGUGAGGCUGAAAAGAUUUUCUUUUCUUUCAUCACAAACAAUGAAAAAAAAUAGGACCCCUGCAGGUGAGAAUGAAGAUCACCCCACAUGCACAGCCCCACUGACCGCCUUCGCUCCCAGCAGUAUUCAGGUCAUGUUCUGCCACCAAGGUGAGCGUGAGCCUGGGGCCACCUGCCCCACCUCCCGCCCCAGCCCUGCUGGGUCUCAUCUGGCUCCAGUCACAACACCUCUGCUAUUGCUGCAGCAUGGCCCUGCCUGCAGGGCACCUCCUCUUUGCUGCAAGCCUUGUGUUCAGCACCAUAGAAUCAAAGAACUCAUUAGUGGGAAGGGAUCUUAAGACCCCAGCCCCACCCCUGCGUGUUCUGGCUGCCUUCUGUCAGCGCAGGCUACCCACAGCUCCAUCCAUGACCUCGUGCACCUCCAGAGAUGGGUCACCCACAGCUCUGGGCAGCCUGUGCCAAAGUGACAGCAGCAGCCCCAUCUCUCUGUUAGUGGGCAGUCUUUGCAAGGUCAAGCAUUGUAAUACAGACAGCAAACAGAGUAAGUAAGCACCUGGUUGCCCUGUGCUGCUGCCAGAAGCAGCAUGUGGCCAGGCACUGCCCCAGCACCACAUGGUGCAGCACAGCCAUGCCCACGGCCAGAGAGU